GUGCUUGCUUUGGCAGCACAUAUACUAAAAUUGGAACGAUACAGAGAAGAUUAGCAUGGCCUNUUCACAAGGACUACAUGCAAACUCCAGAAGCAUUCCAUAUUUUU
rnacentral:snRNA from 1 species